rnacentral:rRNA from 1 species
AACGAACGCUGGCGGCGUGCUUAACACAUGCAAGUCGAACGAGAAAGUUUUCUUCGGAAAACGAGUAGAGUGGCGCACGGGUGAGUAACGCGUAGGUAAUCUACCCUUAUAUUUGGGAUAACAUUGGGAAACUGGUGCUAAUACCGGAUACCCUUUUAGAUACGCGAGUAUUUAGGAGGAAAGGUGGCCUCUUCAUGAAAGCUACCGUAUAGGGAUGAGCCUGCGUACCAUUAGCUAGUAGGUGGGGUAACGGCCCACCUAGGCGACGAUGGUUAGCGGGUCUGAGAGGAUGAUCCGCCACACUGGAACUGGAACACGGACCAGACUCCUACGGGAGGCAGCAGUGAGGAAUAUUGCGCAAUGGGGGAAACCCUGACGCAGCGACGCCGCGUGAGUGAGGAAGGUUUUCGGAUCGUAAAGCUCUGUCAGAAGGGAAGAAGUGUUAUGUGGUUAACACCCAUAUAAUUUGACGGUACCUUCAGAGGAAGCACCGGCUAACUCCGUGCCAGCAGCCGCGGUAAUACGGAGGGUGCAAGCGUUGUUCGGAAUUACUGGGCGUAAAGGGCGCGUAGGCGGCUUGAUAAGUCAGGUGUGAAAGUCCACGGCUCAACCGUGGAAGUGCAUUUGAAACUGUCAGGCUUGAGUAUCGGAGGGGAGUGUGGAAUUCCCGGUGUAGAGGUGAAAUUCGUAGAGAUCGGGAGGAACACCUGUGGCGAAGGCGACACUCUGGACGAAUACUGACGCUGAGGCGCGAAAGCGUGGGGAGCAAACAGGAUUAGAUACCCUGGUAGUCCACGCCGUAAACGAUGUGAACUAGGGAUAGGGGGUGUUGAUCCCUCCUGUCCCGCAGCUAACGCAUUAAGUUCACCGCCUGGGGAGUACGGUCGCAAGAUUAAAACUCAAAGGAAUUGACGG